UUGUCAGCUCGCCAGCCCCCAAGGCCUCUCUCAGGCCUCUGAGCUAGGAAAUUAGGAAGAGAGCUGGGUGGGGAGCUCUUCCUUCUGGGGGUGGCCUAUUCCUGGACCCAAAGCCUCAAUGAAUGGCUGGGUGAUCUUGGUCCUCACAUCUGGUUAGAGCUGGCUCUGACCUAGAGCAGAGCCGCCCACAGACACUUCCUGGGGAAAACGAGCUGGCGUCUCUAUAAAUCUCCUGCACCCCUGUGCCAGCUUCCCGGCCAGGAUGACAGCUGAGACAGGCGUGUCCCUCUGUUUGCCAAGGACAACAGCCGACUGUGGAGAGGCAUGGAGUCUAUUACCCCACUAAUGUGACAGUUGUGACUGAACGUCAUGUUCUAGAGCUCUGGAAUGAGGAAAACAGCGUUGCUCGGAAGACAGACAGGGAGACACUGGAACGUUUGCCAUGUGGUUGCCAUGAACCAGGAAGGGCUGCGAGGGGAGGCAACAUCCAGAGGCCUUGCCCUGCUGUCCUGCCUACACCUCCCCACCAGGAUCCUUUGCUCCCCUCUCCACUGGGCAUUAGGUUUUAUCAGUGUGUUUCUACCUGUGAGCCAUAGCCAGCAAGCCUACCUCAUGCAAUCCUGACCCUGUGUACUCCUAACCCUCACACCUCUUACCACAUGUCCCCAACUCCUCUUUCUCCUGACCCUGCACACUCCUGACUCUGCUCAUCCUUGAUCCUCACUUACUUUUGACCCCCACUAAACCUUAACCCUACUCACCUCUGGCACUGCUCAUCCCUGACCCCACUCACCCCUGUCCCCAAUCAUCCUUGGGUCCACUCCCCCCGUCCCCACUCACCCCUAUCCCUGCUCACCCCGACACAAGCUCAUCCCUGACACUGCCCACCCCUGACUCACCCCUAAUACUAAUUACUCCUGAUCCUGUCCACCCCUCACCCCACUCUCCCUGGCCGCACUCUCUACUGUCCCCACUCAUCCCUGACCCCUGGCUCUCCCAGGCCCCAGGCAGAGCUCAGUCUCUACAAACUGAGAUCAGUUCUAUUUUCUGGGUUUCUGGUACUCAUGGUGGACACUGGAGGCUCCUGCGCGGAAACAGAAUCAGCUUUGGCUUCGAAGGAAAGUUGAAGAUGGAGUGGGAGCUUUAGGGACUCAGACCAGGCCUUCUGUCAUCCCUCCUCAUUAAGGUGCCUCUUGCCCCUGUCGCCUGGACAACAUGCUGUCCUUCACUAUCCCUCCUUCCUCCAUCGUAUAUGGGUUUGUGUGAAAGCUGGAACUGGCAGAGUUCAUCAUCUUAUGCCCCCAGGAAGCCAGCCACCCAGGGGGACACCCUCAGGAUUGCUGGGCAGUAAUCCCAUAACCUCCUCUGCUGGGUGAGUGGUGGGUCCCUGUCUGGUCCCAGUCCCAGUAGGACCAAGUGAGCUGGUGCCCAGCACCUUGGUCACCCAAGUGACCUUUCUCUGUCCCACACUCACCCCCUCCUGGUACCAACUCUUCCCAAACACUCUGUGUUCUCAGCCUCCACAAAAUGAUCUGGAAGAUGAUAGCCAUGCCUAAAACCCCAUAGAGGCUGAGGAAUCAAGGCCACUAUGUGCACAAAACAGGGACCUUGAUGAGCAGAGGGGAUCCUGACUGUUGGCACCCCAAGGCCUGUGUCCUCACUGGCCAGAGGAUACCAGAGCUUGGAAGCUGCAGAAGUGGAAAAUAAGGCUUGCCUGCCU